AGAGUUUGAUCCUGGCUCAGGAUGAACGCUGGCGGCGUGCCUAACACAUGCAAGUCGAACGGAGAUUACGGACGGAAGUUUUCGGAUGGAAGACUGUAAUUCUUAGUGGCGGACGGGUGAGUAACGCGUGGGCAACCUGCCCUAUACAGGGGGAUAGCAGCUGGAAACGGCUGGUAAGACCGCAUAAGUCGGUUAAAUCGCAUGAUUUGAUCGGGAAAUGAGCAAUCAGGUAUAGGAUGGGCCCGCGUCCGAUUAGCCAGUUGGCAGGGUAAAAGCCUACCAAAGCAACGAUCGGUAGCCGGACUGAGAGGUCGGACGGCCACAUUGGGACUGAGACACGGCCCAAACUCCUACGGGAGGCAGCAGUGGGGGAUAUUGCACAAUGGAGGAAACUCUGAUGCAGCGACGCCGCGUGAGUGAAGAAGUAUUUCGGUAUGUAAAGCUCUAUCAGCAGGGAAGAAAAUGACGGUACCUGACUAAGAAGCCCCGGCUAACUACGUGCCAGCAGCCGCGGUAAUACGUAGGGGGCAAGCGUUAUCCGGAUUUACUGGGUGUAAAGGGAGCGCAGGCGGUUUGGCAAGUUGAGAGUGGAAGCAGGGGGCUCAACCCCCUGACUGCUCCCAAAACUGUUAAACUUGAGUAUGGGAGAGGCAGGCGGAAUUCCUAGUGUAGCGGUGAAAUGCUUAGAUAUUAGGAAGAACACCGGUGGCGAAGGCGGCCUGCUGGACCAAAACUGACGCUGAGGCUCGAAAGCGUGGGUAGCAAACAGGAUUAGAUACCCUGGUAGUCCACGCUGUAAACGAUGAAUACUAGGUGCUGGGAGGCAUAAGCCUUUCGGUGCCGUCGCAAACGCAUUAAGUAUUCCACCUGGGGAGUACGUUCGCAAGAAUGAAACUCAAAGGAAUUGACGGGGACCCGCACAAGCGGUGGAGCAUGU
rnacentral:rRNA from 1 species